AACGAACGCUGGCGGCGCGUCUUAAACAUGCAAGUCGAACGAUCUGUAGCAAUACAGGGAGUGGCGGACGGGUGAGGAACACGUAGGAAUCUACCUUGAAGAGCGGGACAACUUUGGGAAACCGGGGCUAAUACCGCAUAGUACAGAGAUGUUAAAGGGCUAGCAAUAGUCGCUUCGAGAUGAGCCUGCGGUCUAUCAGCUUGUUGGUGAGGUAAUGGCUCACCAAGGCUACGACGGAUAGCCGGUCUGAGAGGAUGAUCGGCCACACUGGCACUGAGACACGGGCCAGACUCCUACGGGAGGCAGCAGUUAAGAAUCUUGCGCAAUGGGGAAACCCUGACGCAGCGACGCCGCGUGAAGGAUGAAGGCUUCCGGGUUGUAAACUUCGGUAGACUGGGAAGAAGAAAUACGUUCGUUGAGGGCGUAUAGUGACGGUACCAGUCUGAAGCCCCGGCUAAUUACGUGCCAGCAGCCGCGGUAAU
rnacentral:rRNA from 1 species